rnacentral:tRNA from 1 species
GCCUUCGUGGUGUAGUGGUCAGUACGCUCGACGCGAAUUCGAGAGAUCCGCGGUUCGACUCCCGGCGAGGGCA